GAUGAACGCUGGCGGCGUGCCUAACACAUGCAAGUCGAGCGAGAAACCAUCGAUUGAAACUUCGGUAGAUAUUGAAGGCGGAAAGCGGCGGACGGGUGAGUAACGCGUAGGCAACCUGCCCUUUGCAGAGGGAUAGCAACGGGCAACUGUUAUUAAAACCUCACAAUAACGACAUGUCAAAUGACAAGACGGUCAAAGAUUUAUCGGCAAAGGAUAGGCCUGCGUCGGAUUAGUUAGUUGGUAGGGUAACGGCCUACCAAGGCAGCGAUCAGUAGCCGACCUGAGAGGGUGAUCGGCCACAUUGGAACUGAGACACGGUCCAAACUCCUACGGGAGGAAGCAGUGGGGAAUAUUGCACAAUGGGCGAAAGCCUGAUGCAGCAACGCCGCGUGAAGGAUGAAGGCCUUUGGGUCGUAAACUUCUGUCCUUGGGGAAGAAAAAAAUGACGGUACCCCUGGAGGAAGUCCCGGCUAACUACGUGCCAGCAGCCGCGGUAACAC
rnacentral:rRNA from 1 species